CGGGAUGAACGCUGGCGGCGUGCUUAACACAUGCAAGUCGAACGGAGUAUUAAGAAUGAAGUUUCGGAUGGAUUUUUAGUACUUAGUGGCGGACGGGUGAGUAACGCGUGGGUAACCUGCCUCACACAGGGGGAUAACAGUUGGAAACGACUGUUAAUACCGCAUAAGACCACAGUACCGCAUGGUACAGGGGGUAAAAAACUCCGGUGGUGUGAGAUGGACCCGCGUCUGAUUAGUUAGUUGGCGGGGUAACGGCCCACCAAGACGACGAUCAGUAGCCGAUCUGAGAGGAUGACCGGCCACAUUGGGACUGAGACACGGCCCAAACUCCUACGGGAGGCAGCAGUGGGGAAUAUUGCACAAUGGGGGAAACCCUGAUGCAAGCGACGCCGCGUGAGUGAAGAAGUAUUUCGGUAUGUAAAGCUCUAUCAGCAGGGAAGAAAAUGACGGUACCUGAGUAAGAAGCCCCGGCUAACUACGUGCCAGCAGCCGC
rnacentral:rRNA from 1 species